UCAAUGAUUGGAGAGCUCCACAGUUAAACCCCUAUAAAGAACGUAUAUGGCAGGAAGUUAAGUUGGAAAGAAAUGGAAAGACUGGAAAGACCAACUGAAAAGAAAGCACUUCAACAAGUACAAAACUAAUGAAGAACGCUUAGCAAAUUGUCCCGAUAGGGUGGAUCCUAGUCAGUGGAAGAUUCUCGUUCAAUUUUGGAAUAGUCUAGAGGCACAGGAACGCAGUACAACCAACAGUGACAAU